rnacentral:rRNA from 1 species
GAGGAAUAAGCAUCGGCUAACUCCGUGCCAGCAGCCGCGGUAAUACGGGGGAUGCAAGCGUUAUCCGAAAUCAUUGGGCGUAAAGCGCCUGUAGGUUGUUUAUUAAGUCUGUUGUUAAAGCCUAGGGCUUAACCCUAGAACAGCAAUGGAAACUGGUAAACUUGAGUAUGGUAGGGGUAGAGGGAAUUUCUAGUGUAGCGGUGAAAUGCGUAGAUAUUAGAAAGAACACCAGUGGCGAAAGCGCUCUACUGGACCAUUACUGACACUCAGAGGCGAAAGCUAGGGUAGCAAAAGGGAUUAGAUACCCCUGUAGUCCUAGCCGUAAACGAUGGAUACUAGAUGUUGCGCUUAUAGUGCAGUAUCGUAGCUAACGCGUUAAGUAUCCCGCCUGGGGAGUACGCUCGCAAGGGUGAAACUCAAAGGAAUUGACGGGGGCCCGCACAAGCGGUGGAGCAUGUGGUUUAAUUCGAUGCAACGCGAAGAACCUUACCAGGGCUUGACAUACUGCGAAUCUCUUUGAAAGAAGAGAGUGCCUUCGGGAAUGCAGAUACAGGUGGUGCAUGGCUGUCGUCAGCUCGUGUCGUGAGAUGUUGGGUUAAGUCCCGCAACGAGCGCAACCCUUGUUUUUAGUUACUAAUUUAUUUAGGUUUUCUAGAAAGACUGCCGGUGACAAACCGGAGGAAGGUGAGGAUGACGUCAAGUCAGCAUGCCCCUUAUGUCCUGGGCCACACACGUGCUACAAUGGUUAAGACAAAGAGUCGCAAAUUCGCAAGGAUAAGCUAAUCUCAUAAACUUAGCCUAAGUUCAGAUUGUAGGCUGCAACUCGCCUGCAUGAAG